rnacentral:lncRNA from 1 species
AGUGGGCUUAAUAUGUGGUGCAACUUGCGCUUCCCUGUAGAAUCAAACCAAAACUAGUCUUCAGCCGUGACCACACUCUUGUUUAAGUUUCCUAUUCCUGUCCUGUCCUGCUGCCUUCACUCCUCUUAUCCUGGGAGCACUUUCCCAAUCAAGCAUAAGAAUCUUCAUCUCAGUCCUCACUGCUUAGGAAACCAAUUUAAGACAACUGGCAUUGGAGAUGGAUUCUAGGGUUAAUUCACUUGCUGGCUGGAUGGCAAUGAGGACCCCACUGGUGGAGAUCCUUUGGCAGCCCUUCUCAAGGACCUCUGUGAGACAAAAUCAGAAAUGGCUUCCCUGGGGACCAAGAGAGCCCACAAGCCUCUUCCUGCUGCUUCUUCUACCCCUGUAUUUUGUUUGACUCUCUAAAUUUGUCUCAGCUCCAGGUCUGGAAGAAAAUUUUGGGAAUCUAUUAAUCCUCUGAGGCCUUCAAAGCCACUACCCUAGACUGGCUUCCUCUCUGCGCUCACCUGUCUGUUGGGCGUCUGUGACCUGCCCUCACUGGGUGACCUGGAUUGACGGCGCUCUGGGGACUCCCAGUCAGCCUGGGUCCCUCGCUCUUCUGAAUUGCAGCGGGAGACAUCAGGAGAGAGAAGAUGCUUUCGCUCUUUUGAUCGUCCCCGCUCCCUGCCCCCUGAGCGUCCUUGGAGAGUAAGUGCAUCAGGGCAGGAGCCCACUGCCUGAUGAAAGAGCUGGACACUGAAGACCUCCUCACCUGAAUCAGAGUUCAGGCGGUGGGCUGACAGCCGCAAGGAGGAGUGGUAACUCCGGCGACGGGACUUGUAGGUAUUUUCACUGCUUCGCUCCAUGGAGAAUUCCUCCAACCACGAGGAAUUUGAACGCUUAUCCCGAAUAGUGGAAAAUGAACGUCUCAUGGAGCUAGGGUCUGUCACCACCUGGAAAUACAAGCCCCCAGAGAAACACAAGGUAUGGAUUAACGAUUGAAAAGAUCUAAAAGGACAGAAGCAGCAAGACUGAGACGUUAAGGAAGGCAAAUUGUAACCCCUGGAAAUGGUAACUUCCCUUGAAUCUCUCUUGCUCAAACCUUAGCUGGUGGAAACUGUUCAAGAAAGCAUCCUUACAUUAUGUUAAUAUAGUCACUGGAAAUGGUCCAGGAUCUUUUCUUCUGUAGCUGAGUGUACCAAGGCAAAGCCAUGCGGAAUGCAGGCAGGAACUGUGCAAGCUCCCAUAGAGCCCUCUACCAUGGGGCGCAGCCAGGCUGCAGCAAAUACUGUGCUGCUUUGAAACAUGUGAGGGCAAUUGUCUAAGAGGCCACCCCAUUCAUGAAAGAAGCAUGGCUUUGCUUUUUUUUUUUUAAACGCCCUUGCCAGAGAAGGCCCUGCCCUGCAGCACUAGAGCCUAGGAGAGCUUGCAAUUUAACAAGUGCUAAGAAUGUAUCACUCUCCCUCUGCUGCCAUCAAUCCCACCUAGCCCCGUUUUAAAUUCUGGCAUUUUGAUUUGCCACAGAUAUUAAAACAAAUCUACAAAAACUUCUUGUCUCUGUCAAAACCUGAUGUAAGACCGACAGACAGGAAAAAGAAGCCAGGAAAACAGACAAAGAAAUGAGAUGUGGCCUGCACUGGUUAGGACAGACAGUCCUGACACAGACCUGUGUGUGUAAGUAACUGCAUAUGUGCUGGAGGAGUCAGGAAACAAAAAAAGGAUGGAGAAGUACACAGAGAAAAUCCUGGAAAAUAUUUCUUGCAUGGCUGGUUGAAUCUUGAGAAUGUUUAACCCGUCCGGAGUGAAGUAUGCAAUUUUGUUCGCUGGGCUGUUGUGGUUAGGGGGGGUCAUUGAAAACACCGGAGAAGCAGGCUCUAUUAGAGACGACCCAUGAGCCAGGUUUUAUUUAUAGGGAAGGGGUGCGGGCAAGUCAACGGCUCACCUGCAAAUAUCAGAUAUUAUUCCAUAACCCAGCUAAUACAGCCCGGAUGCCACUGCAUUAAUGUAGGUGGUUGCUUUUUACCUGGGGAUCCACAGUCAGACGUGGCAUAGAAGAUGCCCUCCCAGAUCCCGCAUGCUCCUGGGUGUCCGAAGGAAGGUAGAUGCCAUGGUUAGAGGGCUGCACGCUUUUUAAUUCACUAACCUCUGGCUCCUGGAAAUAAACACACAGCCAAGCUUGUGGGACUUGGUUCCAUCUCAUUGCUUCUCACGUCCAGUGGACAAUUCAGCCUCCUCAAGAAUGGCUUUCAAAAGAGAGACUUGCAGCUUUAAGGUCUCAGUUGUAUGUAUAUGUGUGUGUGUGUUUAUGUGCACCUAUGUGCUAUAUGUUCCGGACAGGAAGCUCUAGCUGGGAUUGAGUGCUGAAGGUCACCUAUUUUUCUGGUGUAGAUUCCUCUUUUUCAUCACUAAGCAAUGAUUCAGAUUUUAUUGUUUUCUGCAACAAACACUGUUUGGUAUAAUACUUUUCAGAUAUGUGAAGUUCGCUUUCUAAGAAGUGAUAGCAUUGGAUUUAUUCUUUUAAUCUGAAGAAGCCUUUUAUCAAUUAAAUAGAAACCAGUUUUCUAAGGGAAGUCAACAAUUUCUGAUGUCAAAUACGUCUUCUCAAGCCUUAAGACACGUGACGUUAAGAGUUUUCUUCUGAUUGAAACCAUCCA